AUAAUUCUGCGCAUGUAUUCUGAAAAUCGUGCUUAACUAUACUCCUAGGCAGAGCAAACUUUCUUCGUGCGCAUGACGUAACGAAUCUUCUGGUAUACCUCUAGUAGCCAUUUUGUUUUCGUCGGGACGGCUGAUCAAGGUAUCCAUCUGUCCGUUCACCCUGGUCAGUGAGGUAUUUGAGCUCUUCACCAUGGAUUCAAAACGGCAUGAAUGCAGCGCCAGGUCACACACAGACUCACCACCUACUCCACCCUCACCUCCCCUGUAUAGCUCAAGUUACACAACGCAUGACAACUACAAAAGCAGAACAUCUCGUCGAUCGCCUUCGCCUACAGACUACAGGAGCAGUAAAUCUUCCCGGAAUGAAUCGCCACCGGAUAGACGAAGAAGGAAAAGGAGUACUUCCAGACCUUCUCCAAUCCGAUCUCACAGACGAUCUCGUUCGAGUGACAGAGACAAAGAUCGGGAUAGAGACAGGGACAGGUCACGGAAGUAUUCACGAAGAGAUAGAUCAAGAUCUCGAUCAAGGGGAAGGUCUCGUUCAAGAGAUAGAAGACGCAGUCGUAGCAGAAAUAGAAGUAGAGACAGGCACAGAUAUAGAGAAAGUCGUAGACAUCAUAGAGCACCAUCGUAUGAAUCUGAUGCUUUUGAAGAUCAUGCAGAUACGGUUGUAGCACAACAACAGCCCGUUCCACAGCCAAAUGCCUUUAAAAAUGAUGGAAGUUUUAUGGAAAUGUUUAAAAAAAUGCAAGAACAAAUGCAACCUGCACAACAACCAACAACUUCUGUUCUCGAGGAAAAGCCAGUAAUACCACCACCUUUGAUGGUUGGAAAAAGACGAGGAGGAAGAAUCCUAAAAACUGGAAUGGUUGCAAAGCCAAAGACUGAGCAAACUGUUGAACAACCCAAGGAUGCAUGGUCACUUUAUAUGGCAGAAGUGAAAAAAUAUCGUGAAGUUUGUUGUCAGGAAGAGGAUAAUACUAGACCAUUGGUCAAAUAAUUAAUUUUUUUCUCUUCUUUGUCGCCUCAUUAUUCCUAUAACAAAUGUGCUGUGAACGAUUAAUUUUUUUUUAUUUGACUUUCUAAUGAUUGAAACAUUAUGUGACAUUCAAGAGUAUCGAAUGGUAAUUUAAUAACAUACUUUGCACUUAAGUAAUUUCAAUAUAUUUUUUAAGGGUAUGAGACAUGACUUUUGAAACGAAAUUAAUUUUUAAUCAAAUCUAUAUAAUAUCUGUAAUAUGCUAAUUUGAAACUGUAUAUGAAUGCCUUUAUAGACAAAGUAUAUUAUUUAAACAAUAUUCUUAUGUAUGAAAGAGAGAAAGAGACUAUAAAAAAAAAAACAAAUGAAAUUGUGAUAGUGAUUAGAUGAGGCAAGAGACAUAUGGCCUAGAGCGAGGGACUGUAUACAAAAGUAUUCUAAACUGCUGCCAUCAUGUCACAAGUAGAGUGGAAGACAGCGCCAUUUGAUCCAAGGUUCCCAAAUCAAAA